AACGAACGCUGGCGGCGUGCUUAACACAUGCAAGUCGAACGGAAAGGCCCUGCUUUUGUGGGGUGCUCGAGUGGCGAACGGGUGCGUAACACGUGAGUAACCUGCCCUUGAUUUUGGGAUAACUUCAGGAAACUGGGGUUACUACCGGACAGGAGCUCCCGCUGCAUGGUGGGGGUUGGAAAGUUUCGGCGGUUGGGGAUGGACUCGCGGCUUAUCAGCUUGUUGGUGGGGUAGUGGCUUACCAAGGCUUUGACGGGUAGCCGGCCUGAGAGGGUGACCGGCGACAUUGGGACUGAGAGACGGCCCAGACUCCUACGGGAGACAGCAGGGGGGAAUAUUGCACAAUGGGCGGAAGCCUGAUGCAGCAACGCCGCGUGCGGGAUGACGGCCUUCGGGUUGUAAACCGCAUUCGCCUGUGACGAAGCGUGAGUGACGGUAAUGAGUAAAGAAGCACCGGCUAACUACGUG
rnacentral:rRNA from 1 species